UCAAGGCAGCUUUACCCCACUAACCAUCCUGGCCCAUUUAUAGUUUUGGUGGAAUCACUAGAUCAUAAUAUAGGGAACCUGCAUCCCAUUUCUCUCGGUAGGAAGUUACACCCGAACCACGACAUUCUAGAAAUUUCUCGCUCCGGGCCGAAUAGGUUAAGAAUUUCCUUCAGUACCGCUAGUGGGGCUAAUCGCUUCGUGUCCUCGGAUAUCCUUGAUCGACUGCGUAUCACUUACCACAUACCUCAAAGUUUAACCCAAAGAGAAGGUUUGAUUUAUGGCAUUCCUCUCGAUAUCAACUUGGAGGAAAUUAUUGCGGGCAUCGAAUCGUCUCAACCAGUACUUCAUUUAGAACGUUUAACCAAAUUUGUUCCUAACAGUGCCCGUGUGCCUACAAAACUUAUAAAGGUGACUUUCGAAGGGCAGGUUUUACCUGACUAUAUUGCUAUUUUCAAAGAACGUUACAAGGUUAAACCUAGAGUGCAGUCGGUGAUCCAAUGUCACAAAUGUCAACGCUUUGGGCAUACUGCUAAACUUUGUAGAGCUAAACUACCUACGUGUGGUAUCUGCGCAGAGAAUCAUACUCAGGAUGACUGCCAAAAUCAAAACAAUCCUAAAUGUGCCAACUGUAAAGGCUCCCAUUCUUCUCAAGAUAAAAUACAUUGUCGUAUCUGGGAACUCGAACGGGAAGUAAAGCGCAUAAUGGCUUAUCUCAACCUUCCAUACAUGGCAGCUAAACACCACGUGCUACAAUCGACAGGACAAUCUGUGGUAAAUAUGUAUUAAACGGAUUAGCGCCAAAAAAAAUCGUACAAAUAUGAAAUAACUUUCAUUAUAUGCUAUCUUACGUACUCUCUUCAGAACCGCCUGCGGAGAUAAAAAAUUCCAAUUACUUUAGGAGAUAUCGAAUUUUUUAAUCUUCAUUUUUUGGCGAUUUUUUUUUUAAAAAAAAUUAAAAAAUCCGAAAAUACCUUUAUUCUGUGCUCUUAAACUUCCUCUUUUCAUUAAACCCGGCUGAGAUAAGAAAUUCCAAAUACUUUUGGAGAUAUCGAAUUUUUUAAUUUUCAUCCUGUGCACUCGUGCGGCGAUAAUGGUUGCUUGUUGACAAGUAUCAUUUUUUUUUUUUGCGAUGUUCCCGAACGGAGAAACCUAAGAUGCACAUAGAGUUCUGCCAUUCCCGAUUACACCCGAACAAUUCACCUUCGGCCAACCUCGGGUUUAUUUAUUAAUAUUUCUCUGUUUAUUUUAAUGUAGCUAUACUAACCUAACUAACCAUCCAAAUGGUUUUAAAGUGUUUUAAUGUAGCUAACCUAUCCGACCACUUUUAAUAUUUCAAUUCAUUUUUCCUGCGCAAAAAUAAAUAAAUCCCGAGGUUGGCCGAAGGUGAAUAUUCGGGUGUAAUCGGGAAUGGCAGAACUUUAUGUGGAUCUUAAGGACUCUCGCGUAAACGAAUACAUCAUGUAAAAAGAAACUUACACUACUACACCAUGAAUUCAAGACAGCAAGAGUUAUCCAUUGUAUAGUGACGAUACUUCAAAGUAGCAGAUACAGAGAUAUAAUCAGCAGUAUUGAAACCAAGAGGGACUUAAAUGAUGGCGUAAUAUAUGACUGAUUUACCGAAGUCAUAUCUCAUGGAAAGCGAGUAGCACACAAAGAAACAGGCCAGGGGAAUUUGUCUGAUGUGUUUCCAGAAGCUAUGGAAAAUGAUCACUUCAGUGAGAGCCUUACCGCUGCGCCAUUGUUCCGACAGUGACGUACCGGCCAACUGAACAACUGGGGUCAACAAUCAUGAAUUGGAUAUAUGAAUGAAUGUACACACAUCAAGAAUAAUAAAUGAAGUAUCAUCACUCCAAAAACACAGUACACUAAUGGAGAAGAAAGAAGAAGAAGAAGAAGAAAAGUCCUGAUAUGUUAUGUAUGAAAUCCCACAAAUUUAAGCAUAAAUCUACAUUCAUAUGUUAAGAUAAUAAAAGAAUUUGCAGAAAGGUAUUCAGAUCCCUUCUUGUUUUCUUUCAAAUAAAAUAUUACAAA